rnacentral:rRNA from 1 species
UACGUAGGGGGCAAGCGUUGUCCGGAUUUACUGGGCGUAAAGAGCGUGUAGGCGGCCAAGCAGGUCCGUUGUGAAAACUCGAGGCUCAACCUCGAGACGCCGGUGGAAACCAUCAGGCUAGAGUCCGGAAGAGGAGAGUGGAAUUCCUGGUGUAGCGGUGAAAUGCGCAGAUAUCAGGAAGAACACCCGUGGCUAAGGCGGCUCUCUAGUACGGUACUGACGCUGAGACGCGAAAGCGUGGGGAGCGAACAGG